ACGUGAAUGCUAGGUUUUUGAUAACUGGGUGCAUAUAUGUUCGACGUUGAUGAAAUAUGUCAUUACAUUGAGACUUAUUUGCUCUACACAUGUUGCUUAGUGCCCCAUCUUAUUCUUCAUACACCUGGAAUACUUGAUUGCCUGUUUUCUUAGUCCUUGAGCCUAUUGUCUUGUACUAUUUUCUCCUGAAUCGAGUACCAGGAUAUGUAACCUAAUUAGGUCACUUAGAGGUGAAGAUCCUGGCAGAACGUCUAUAUCUUGUUUUGGGGCUGUGGUGCAGGGGCAUCAGGGAAGCUGAAGGUGAAUACUGACAUGGAAUUUACUGUUAGUGUCUGCCUAUUUAUUUCAAAUGAUUAGUGAUUCAUUUAAUAUAAUGUCAAAAACCAUUCUGGGAAAUGCGGAAUACUAGCGGUAGUCUCUCUAGCGGGCACUGGCUAAAAUUGCCUUUCCACAAGAGAUGCAAAUGCUAUAAUUCAAUGGUUUACUGGGAAGUUUUGAGCCAGGUUAAACUUCUGCACAAGGAGCUUUCUGGUAAAAAAUGAAAGUUAAAACUAAAAUAAUGGCAUUUUAUGUGAGACAAAGAUAGGCUGUCAAGAAUGUAGAGGAGGUAGGUUGGGUAGUUGGUCAGAACUCUAGUGAUAACAGGCUGAUCUUCCCCAAGAGCUCACAUCGAUGGGAAGGUUUGGCAACUUUCAAUUUUUGUCCAAGAUAGUUGUUGGUAUGUCUAAGAGAGUGGGAGUCUUUUGAAACUAUACUAUGUAUUUUACAUAGAGACGGUUGGUGUUAGAGAAAUAAGAGCCAGUGUUAGAGAAAUAAGAGCGAGGAUUGAAUUGUAGUAUUGUAGCACUUCGCUGUGCCAUGGCUGUCAUGGACCGCUUGGUGGCUUAGCAGAUGUCCAUAACCGUAAGGGGACGACAAGAAGUUAUUUUGACAACUAUGUAUUUGACACUUUUGUGCAAUAAACAUACGUAUGUAGACACGGGGUACCAGAUACUAAUGUACAAAUUUAUCUGCAUAGAUUUUCUGAUCUUCACUGAUUCAAUCAAUACGAGAUACUAGUAUAUACUAAUUUACCGUUUAAGUUUGCUGGUUCAACUUUUGAAUCUUUUCCUUCUUGUGGUUACUUCUUGUCAGUUAGAGUGGGGAGAUAUUUAAUCUUUGUCUUUAUUUACUACUCUAAUAAUCUCAAACUCUUCAUCUUUGCCCCUCUAAUUUUGAUUCUGGAGGGUGUGUGUGUGUGUGUGUGUGUGGUUGGUUAUUGCACGGCAAAUAUCCAUCUUAUUUGCGUUGCAUAUUCUGAAUCAAAUUAAGAUUUGUAGGAAUGGAUUUUCAUGAGCUGUUGGACAUUCCACAAGGCGACCGCAGGAAGUAUCAUGAUGAUGUUACAGUUAUGGUGGUAUCUCUUGAGGGAAGAAUCUGGAAGUCGUCCGGAAAAUACCUAUGACACCUCAUUGCUGGCAACAUUUCAACACACCGAGAUAGGCUCUUGUUUGGAUCCCCACCUAAAGUGCCUGCAGGCAGGCUGAGAAUUGGUGAAUAUAACCCGCUUUCAUGGGCCCACAGACUAUUUCAUCUCAGACAAAGCAUGCAGUUGUAGGAAUAGGAAAUUUUUGUAGUUGGGACUGGUAAAAAACUUCUCUGGAGAAAUGAUCUUCAAUGGUGAACUCUUUGCAGAUAUGGAGGGUCUUUUCAUUCAUUUUUUCUUCAUUUUGCUUUGAUUUUAGAACUAGUAUUUAGUUGGUUGGGGGUUCAGUUACAGAGCUUGACAUCUGGCUUUUGUUGAAUCUGAGAAUCUGUAAUUUUGAAGGUGGAUUUCCACCCAUUCGGUUUAUAAAGAAAAAUAUUCAAUUGAAAACCGUGUGCUAUUUCCUUCAA